CUGAUUACAUCUGGAAGGACCACGCCAGCCAUCCCGGUGUCUCCAGCUGUGACCUCCAGCCCCAGGAUGAAAUCCCCGAUGCUGCAGCCAGCUGGAAAGGUAACACCACCGUUCACAUCUGUGUCUACACGGUUCACCUCAGCGGCUGCCAGGAGCUCUACAGGCGCUUCCUCAGGCUCCCUGAUGGGGCUAUCGUCGAGGCAUUUGGUGAUAUUAGUGAGGAAAGUCCUUUGUGUAAUGAAGYGAGCACAGAUCAGGACCAUGGAAGRGAAAAGAACAGUGUUCUGUGUACAUCUACACGUAUCAAGCUGAGGGAGAGGAAAAAGCAUACAGCAAGGUGCAAAGGAAAUCCUGUUGCUUCAGACAAGAGCUAGUUCCUGCAGUAAUGUGUGGUCCAUGGAGUUGUUUACAUCAUGAUUCACGGUAUGGCCACUGUCUGAUAGGAUUUAUGUUUCUGACAGCCACACCUCUGCACGUACUGUGUUGUCCUGCAAGUGUUCUCUUAGUACAUCUGUGUUCUUCAACAAUCUACACAAUGUGGUGAACUCAAAUCACGGACUGGAUCAUGCAAACAUAAUUAUUUCAUAUGACUCUUUUUUCUUCCCCAGUUGUGGGACAUUUCUAGAUUUCUCAGGUUUGCUUGUUUCUGCUUUUUCAGCUCUGCUCACACCUGCUAGUUAUGGUGGGGAAUAUAAUGCUGAUUUGUCUUUCAACUUUCAUGUCUAAAACAUCGACAGUGUUUUCAGUAACUGUUCAAAGCUCAAGUCUGUUGUAAUUGCAAGACUGCAAGAAUGCCCAGAAGAACAAUGAUGGCUUCAUCCACCAGUUCUGUAGCCAAGUUCCAACAUGCUGGAAAAUUUACAAGAUCCCAGAGACAUUUUUUUCUGAGGUUUUCGUGGUGGCCAUACCUGUUUCCCUGUGAACUACAGCAGCUUAACACAACCUGAAAGUUAUGCUCAUGCUUUCUUAAUAGCAUUAAAGUUAAAACCAAUCAGUUCUCUUUUGUUAGAACCAGUCAGUACCUAUUCUAUUUGGCUCCUUACAAAUUUAUCAGAAAUUGUCCAUGUCCCAAAGGCAAGAACUAUGAGAGACAACGGAAGAAGGUGGGAAGGGGAACACAGGCGAGAAAGAUGAAAUCAUUUGUGGAAGGCCACCAAAGUCAGAGGCAAAUGGAGAAAUACAGGGGAGACUGCCAGCAUCUUGAUUCAGUCUUCCCUCUGGUAGGAUCCUUUUAUCCUGAAAAUGCAGCUGGGAGGGGGAAGAUUACCUUACUGAUAUUUUGAAUCAUUUAUGCAGAAAUCUGUAAUCAUUUAACAUAGUAACCAGUGACAUUUUUCUAGCAUGUUGUGAUUUUCUGGUGUCCUUUUUUUCACACAGGUAUGGUAAAACUUUUUCAGAUGCAUUUAYCUUUGCAAGAUCUUACCCAAUAUCUUGAGAAUUGUUGAUUAUAGAAUUCUUAAAUCCAUAGUUCUCAUCCACCUGAAAAAAAGUUAAAUGACAUUAGAUAGUAACCUAAAGGUUUAGAUGCCACUCCUGAGCACAGUUUUUCUUUGGAUAUGCAAGAUAGUGAUUUGGUUUCCACUUACUUUUUUGUUGGUUUCCCCCCACCCUGUUCAUUUGUGUGCAUGUGCACUGCAUGCGUUUUCCCCCCAGUUUAUUUGCAAUGUGUGUGCUUAUUUUAUGUCGUACACCCAGACAGAAAUGGUGUGAAAAACCUUCUGAAUAUCUACAAGAAUUGAUGUGAUUUUUGUGGCUUUUAUUGUGUAAGAUAUUACUUGGAUGACUUCUUUCUGUCAUAACAGGAAUAAAAUUGYCUUUUAAUGUUUGCUUUGCCUGUUGACAUUUUAAACUUUUCUACAUAACUUUGAUAAAGAAACUAACUGAAGAGAAACCAGCCAAUAACCUAUUGCAGUUUCUGGCUGACUGUACCAAGAGG